rnacentral:rRNA from 1 species
UACGAACCGUGCGAACGUUGUUCGGAAUCACUGGGCUUAAAGGGCGCGUAGGCGGUUGAUCAAGUCUGGGGUGAAAUCUUUCGGCUUAACCGGAAAAGUGCCUUGGAUACUGGUCAGCUGGAGGGAGGUAGGGGCAGUUGGAACUUCCAGUGGAGCGGUGAAAUGCGUUGAUAUUGGAAGGAACGCCGGUGGCGAAAGCGAGCUGCUGGACCUCUUCUGACGCUGAGGCGCGAAAGCUAGGGGAGCAAACGGG